rnacentral:rRNA from 1 species
AGAGUUUGAUCAUGGCUCAGAACGAACGCUGGCGGCGUGGAUAAGACAUGCAAGUCGAACGCUGAUUGUCGGGUAGCAAUAUUCGGCAGUCGGAGUGGCGCAAGGGUGCGUAACACGUGGGUAAUCUGCCAUGAAGUUUGGGAUAACUCGCUGAAAGGCGAGCUAAUACCGGAUGUGAAAAUUGGAAGGCAUCUUUUGAUUUUCAAAGCUGGGGACCGUAAGGCCUGGCGCUUCAUGAUGAACCCGCGGCCUAUCAGCUAGUUGGUGAGGUAACGGCCCACCAAGGCUAAGACGGGUAGCUGGUCUGAGAGGACGACCAGCCACACUGGAACUGAGACACGGUCCAGACACCUACGGGUGGCAGCAGUCGAGAAUUUUUCACAAUGGGCGCAAGCCUGAUGGAGCGACGCCGCGUGGGGGAUGAAUGGCUUCGGCCCGUAAACCCCUGUCAUUUGCGAACAAACGUUAUUAUUUAAAAGAUGAUGACCUGAUUGUAGCGAAAGAGGAAGGGACGGCUAACUCUGUGCCAGCAGCCGCGGUAAUACAGAGGUCCCAAGCGUUGUUCGGAUUCACUGGGCGUAAAGGGUGCGUAGGUGGCGGGGUAAGUCGGAUGUGAAAUCUCCGAGCUCAACUCGGAAAUGGCAUUGGAAACUACCUUGCUCGAGGGUUGGAGGGGGGACUGGAAUACUUGGUGUAGCAGUGAAAUGCGUAGAUAUCAAGUGGAACACCAGUGGCGAAGGCGAGUCCCUGGACAACUCCUGACACUGAGGCACGAAAGCUAGGGGAGCAAACAGGAUUAGAUACCCUAGUAGUCC